UGCUUUUCUUCUAACUCUUCUUGCAUUUGCAAUUGUCUUUAAAGCGGAAGGGGCCCCUACCUAUAACUCUUUUAAUGAGAAUGCGACGAAGGGCGCCUUAGACCUAAAGCUUUCCGUGGAGCAAGGAGUGGAAAAGGACUCUACCAAUUUAAAGCCUGUAAUUCUGGAUGUUGCUGAGAGAGAGAGACUAAUGAACCUUACCAAACAGGUUAGCGUAAUUCCGGGUGAUGCUGAGAGAGAAGAAUUUUCAAAUUCCACUUCUCC